CGUCAUUAAUUCGCCGGUCUUAAUUCAGCAGGAUUCAAACACCCCGCCGUUAUUCGAGGCAGCGGCAAGGAGGGGCAAGAGAGAAAUAGAGAAGAGCCAAGAGAGUUCAUCGCAUCGGCAAGAUCCUCGGAACGAAAGUCCAGGAAAGAGCGCGUCGGUUGCACCUGCACUGUCGAGCGACUUGCACGGGUAUCUCUACUAUCUUAAAUCACAAUGGUGACGACAAGUUUAACUAUUUAUUUCGUUAGUUAGUUCCUUAAGAUUGAUCGUUACAUAUAAGCAGGUACGCACACACGCACGCACACACGUGUUAUGUUACCGUAUACAUGGACACGCGACGGAACGAGCCGUUUGAUCGUCGAUGAUCCCGCAAUAAUUAAUGCAACGAUACAGUCGACGAUUUUUGUGGACGGUGCUUAACAGACGACGCGUCUGCGUUAAGAAAGGUGAAGAGGAGAAGGCAAAAAUAUACAAGUGUUAGAAA